rnacentral:snoRNA from 1 species
CCUGCCUCUAGAGGUGUUGCAGGUGUAGCUGCCGGGUCACUUGCAUCAGUAGGUGGCAGAGAGGAGAGAGAGACGGUGUCUGUACUCAGAGUUCUGACAUC